GUCCGAGCGGUUGAAGGAGCUAGUCUCGAAAACUAGUAGCGGGCUUGUCCUGCUCGUGGGUUCGAAUCCCACC
rnacentral:tRNA from 1 species